AGCAUGUACAUUUCGAUUCUCAGAAGAUGAAGGUUUCCUUGGCCGCACAGACACUCAGUCGCUCCGUGACAGUAGCUCUGCGAACACUGCGAGACCUUGGCUAUCCACAGUUUGAACACUGUGAAGCAACAGCUGAAUUCAUUGAGGUACCUGUCUGUCAUGGGGUUCAUCAUCAACAUUGAUACCCUCAUGUUGUUGAUUCCUGAGCUGCUACAAAUUCAGCGAUAUGUCUGCACCUAUCGAUUUAGUCAGGAUCACUUGGAGCUCCUCUUCAAUUCUAUCAGGGCGUCAGGAGGCUGGAAUAACAAUCCUACUGCAGGCCAGUUCCAGGGCAUUUUCCGCCAUCUCAUGGUCCGAUGUGGUGUCUCACCAAGCAUUUCAGGAAACGUGGUAGAUUAAAAUGAGACCGUGUCCCUAUCAGCUGUUGAGAUGUCGUCGACUCUAGCAGCAGAAGAAUCUGAAGACCUUCCGUCCCCUUUUGUAAACCUGUCUGCACUUGUAUAUGACCACAGCUACCUGCCCACCCGUCUUGGGAGCCUUGUGGACAAUGCCCUUGUGUACAUUUCAGGGUUUGUUGUACGUCAGACUUUGAGGAAGCUGUCCUGUGAUGUGUGCCGUGUUAGCUUGGUGACAGAUGCCAUCUCUGCUUCAUUUGAUCAGAGCUAUCACUUACUUACACUAAAAAACAAUGGAGGACUCAUGAUUCCUUCUGAAGGUACAGUGAAGGUGGUCAGAUCAGCUGAGCGGUUUAUUCGCCAGUCAUCCUCUGGGAAAGCCGUCAAAGUGUCCGUGAUCAGUCAACUUGUCCGAGCUGAGAUUGGUUCAGAGGAUGUGUUUUGUCUCAAGGAGCACAUUGAGGAAACACAGUUUGGAAUUGACAACCAUCAUUUUUCUCUCUUGUCAUUAGUUGUGUCUGUCUUCCACAAACUAAGGAUGCACCACAUUGCCAAACUGAACACACUUACACUACAGAGUGGCAGCUCGAGAAAAAAGCUCUGCAAAACUGUUUUGUUCAAAGGGUUUUAGCUCUUGCACUCUGCAACCCUACAAAGGAUUAGUGAUUAUAGAUGAUUGAUAGAUAUUAUAUAGCUUUUAUUAUUAUUAUUAUUACUAAUUUUAUUAUUCAUUAUUUCA